rnacentral:misc_RNA from 1 species
CCGAGUGAGGGCGCCCCCGGCGCCCGACCUCUCAACCCUUUGUGUGACCGUUACCUCUGUUGCCUCGGGGGCGACCCGGCCCUGACCCGGCCGCGGGCCCCCGGUGGACCACUCAUCAACACUGCAUCAAUGCGUCGGAGUGAUUUGAAGCAAAUUCAAUCA